rnacentral:tRNA from 1 species
ACUGCUUUAGCUCAGUUGGUAGAGCGUCGGAGUACAAAUCCGAAGGUGAUCCAUUCAAAUCUCGAAUGCUGAC